rnacentral:rRNA from 1 species
CCUACGGGAGGCUGCAGUGAGGAAUAUUGGGCAAUGGGCGAGAGCCUGAACCAGCCAAGCCGCGUGAGGGAGUACUGCCCUAUGGGUUGUAAACCUCUUUUGUCGGGGAGCAAAAGCCGGACGUGUCCGGCUGUGAGAGUACCCGAAGAAAAAGCAUCGGCUAACUCCGUGCCAGCAGCCGCGGUAAUACGUAGGUGGCAAGCGUUGUCCGGAUUUACUGGGGGUAAAGGGCGUGUAGCCGGGUUGACAAGUCAGAUGUGAAAUCCUGCGGCUUAACCGCAGAACUGCCUUUGAAACUGUUGAUCUUGAGUACUGGAGAGGCAGACGGAAUUCCUAGUGUAGCGGUGAAAUGCGUAGAUAUUAGGAGGAACACCAGUGGCGAAGGCGGUCUGCUGGACAGCAACUGACGGUGAGGCGCGAAAGCGUGGGGAGCAAACAGGAUUAGAUACCCCUGUAGUC